rfam:Triticum aestivum genome assembly, contig: Triticum_aestivum_CS42_TGACv1_scaffold_579145_7BL
AUUGUACUCCAUCCGUUCGAAAAUACUUGUCAUCAAAAUGGAUAAAAAUGGAUGUAUCUAGAACUAAAAUACAUCUAGAUACAUCUCCUUUUAUUCAUAGUGAUGACAAGUAUUUCUGGACGGAGGUAGUAAUAG